rnacentral:tRNA from 1 species
GAGGAUUUAGCUUAAUUAAACUGUUUGAUUUGCAUUCAACUGAUGUAGGAUGAAGUCCUGCAGUCCUUA